GAUGAACGCUAGCGGCAGGCUUAACACAUGCAAGUCGAGGGGUAUUGGUUUUUGGACCAAGAGACCGGCGCACGGGUGCGUAACGCGUAUGCAAUCUACCUUUUGCAGAGGGAUAGCCCAGAGAAAUUUGGAUUAAUACCUCAUAGUAUAGUACUUUGGCAUCAAGGAACUAUUAAAGUCACAACGGCAAAAGAUGAGCAUGCGUCCCAUUAGCUAGUUGGUAAGGUAACGGCUUACCAAGGCUACGAUGGGUAGGGGUUCUGAGAGGGAGAUCCCCCACACUGGUACUGAGACACGGACCAGACUCCUACGGGAGGCAGCAGUGAGGAAUAUUGGACAAUGGGCGCAAGCCUGAUCCAGCCAUGCCGCGUGCAGGAUGACGGUCCUAUGGAUUGUAAACUGCUUUUAUACAGGAAGAAACACUCCGAGUGUCGGAGGCUUGACGGUACUGUAAGAAUAAGGAUCGGCUAACUCCGUGCCAGCAGCCGAC
rnacentral:rRNA from 1 species